rnacentral:rRNA from 1 species
GACGAACGCUGGCGGCGUGCCUAAUACAUGCCAGUAGAACGCUGAAGGGAGGAGCUUGCUCUUCUUGGAUGAGUUGCGAACGGGUGAGUAACGCGUAGGUAACCUGCCUUGUAGCGGGGGAUAACUAUUGGAAACGAUAGCUAAUACCGCAUAACAAUGGAUGACACAUGUCAUUUAUUUGAAAGGGGCAAUUGCUCCACCACAAGAUGGACCUGCGUUGUAUUAGCUAGUAGGUGAGGUAAUGGCUCACCUAGGCGACGAUACAUAGCCGACCUGAGAGGGUGAUCGGCCACACUGGGACUGAGACACGGCCCAGACUCCUACGGGAGGCAGCAGUAGGGAAUCUUCGGCAAUGGGGGCAACCCUGACCGAGCAACGCCGCGUGAGUGAAGAAGGUUUUCGGAUCGUAAAGCUCUGUUGUAAGUCAAGAACGGGUGUGAGAGUGGAAAGUUCACACUGUGACGGUAGCUUACCAGAAAGGGACGGCUAACUACGUG